GUAGGUGGCAAGCGUUGUCCGGAAUUAUUGGGCGUAAAGCGCGCGCAGGCGGUUCUUUAAGUCUGAUGUGAAAGCCCACGGCUCAACCGUGGAGGGUCAUUGGAAACUGGAGAACUUGAGUACAGAAGAGGAAAGCGGUAUUCCACGUGUAGCGGUGAAAUGCGUAGAGAUGUGGAGGAACACCAGUGGCGAAGGCGGCUUUCUGGUCUGUAACUGACGCUGAGGCGCGAAAGCGUGGGGAGCAAACAGGGAUUAGAUACCCUGGUAGUCCACGCCGUAAACGAUGAGUGCUAAGUGUUAGGGGGGUUUCCGCCCCCUUAGUGCUGCAGCUAACGCAUUAAGCACUCCGCCUGGGGAUACGGCCGCAAGGCUG
rnacentral:rRNA from 1 species